CCGAACCCAUUUCAAGGAGGUCAAGCAUCCUCCUAUCUAGCGGUGAUCCAUACAGCAGGGCUGCAAUGACACUCUUCAAAACUCCAGGCCUGCUUUGAGGUGGAGAGGGGGAGGAGAAUAAGAGAGGCAAGUGAAGGCUCUAGCUUAUGAACCAUUAAACAUCUCCUAUUUAUAGAGGUCCCCUAUCAAACCCUAAUGGAUCGUCCCCUAGUGGGUAUUGGAUCUACAUCCAAUUUUCGAAGCCUUUUAGAUUAGUGGAUCUCUAUCCAAUAAUCUCUCAUAGGCUCUUAUUAGAUCUCAUCCAUGGGAUCCAAUAAUUCAAGGUCUUAUUGGAUAUCCAAUAAGAUAGGGGCUC
rnacentral:lncRNA from 1 species